rnacentral:lncRNA from 1 species
UAGUUUUGCUGUUAUCCAUUGUAGAUAUGACCAACAGCAUGCUUCAUUUUUCAGCAGGUCUUCCCAUCCUUCCCUUCAGAUAUUGUUCUCCUAACAGUUUCUCUUACUUUCUUUUAUUUGUAGGCACUCUACUUUUUUCAUUAGCACAUAUCUGUUCCAUACUUAUAUUAUUUAAAAAAUCUAUCUCUACCUAUGUAUUUAUCAAUCUGUCUCAUUCAGGAAGAAGUCAUAAGAUAAUAAGGCUAAUAUUAGUCAUAAAUAAAGGAGGAUCAGUCACAAUACUGAAUUUUGGUCUUUUUAUUUUUCCAUUAAGGACAAUAUUUGGAAAACUUCCAAGUUGAAAUCUCUUCUGAAAAAUUGCUUCCUAAGUGAAGCUAUUUUGUAGUUGAUUUUUCUCCCUCUCCCCCAGUUUUAUUGAGAAAUAAUUGAUAUACCUCACUGUAUAAAACUCUUAGGAUUUACUUUCUUAACAAAUUCCCUACAUAUCAUAUAGCUGCGUUAACUAUAGUUAUCAUGUUGUACAUUACAUCCAUGGGAAUUUGUAUAACUAGGAAUUUGUAUCUUUUGACCACCUUCCUCCCUUCCCCCACCCUCUGCUUUUGGUAAACACAAAUUUGAACUCUGUAGGAGGGUUUUUUUUUUUUUUUUGAUUCCACAAAUAAAUGAAAUCAUACAGUAUUUAUCUUUGUCUGACUUAUUUCCCUUAGCAUGAUGCCCUCAAAGUUCAUCCACAUUUUUGCAAAUGAUUUUCUCCCUGUAUGCUUUAGUGCAAUAUUUCUGGGUACUUAACCUCUUACUCUUCAGCAGGAACCUCUUUUUUUUUUUUUCUCUGAGAGUAAUUAAGCUGGGAGAAAAAGCAGGUGUUCAAAUCUUCAUGGCCACAAGGGGGAAAAUAAUUUUAAAAAAUUUUAUCUCCAAUCUAUCUAGAGCAUAAUGUUUUUAAAAAUGUGCCUUACUCAGCAUAAUCUUGUUUUAUUUAUUUGCUUAUGGAUUUAUUCAAUUUGCUUAACUGUGAGGGGAUGCUAGAACCUGGCAAGAAAAUUUUUUGGAACAUCCUGUUUUGUCUUGUUCUUCCUAAUGAGAGAGAAGCCCUAGACAGCAUGCUGCUUUGGCACAACUCAUGCCCUGACCCAGGAGUAACAGACCUAACUAGAAUAAGGACAAAGGGGACUCCCAGGAGCUUCACUGUUAGUUCUUUAUAAUCAUCAUCUGUAGAAAUUCACAGAUCAGUAAUCAAAACAUUCAAUCUUUGGACAAGUUAUUCUAAUAAUGAGUUAGUUAUAAAACUACAAAUUAAAUCAUAAAAUAAAUUAGAAUGUAUAAAUUAAAUUAUAAUACCACAAGUCCACUACUUUUAUUUCCUAAUUGAAUGUAAAGUGAUCCAAAAUGAUCUAUAGAAAUAAUUAAACUUUUUAAAGUGAUAAAUUAGUGAAAUUAACUUGUUAAUUAUAGUGAGACAUUGAAAUAUUAGUACUCCAUUCAGACAGAAAAAAUAUGAGAGAAAUUAAGUGAUGAUAUCUUAUUUUUCUCCUGUAUUAUAUCUCCUUUAUUCUCUAUGAGUUCUAAGAUCUACAUUUUAAAAUUUCUAAAGUAAACUAUUUGAUGAUUUCCUUUCAUUCAAAGUCAGUUAAAUACACUUUCUUCAGUCAAGCACAGAUAUGUAUCUUAAACCAGGUUACAUUUCAGAUGUCAUUUUUAAAAAUACCUUUAAUUCUUAACUUCUUGUAAAAGGAAAAAUGGACAUCGUUGCAUAUUGACAUUAGGUAGUAAAUUGGUAUAGCCUCUGCAAGGAGCAAUUUGGCAACAUAACAUUAAAAUUCUAAAAGUGUAUAAAAUUUGAUCUACAAAUUCCAUUUCUAAAUAUUUAUUCUGUACACGUGGGUUCGUGUGGAAAAUGCUGCAUCUGUAAUGAUAAUGCACUGGGGUGUUUUUAUAAUACUGAUGAUUAGAAACAACCCAAAUGUCUUUAAUAGAAAACUGGUAAUAGGUUUUGCUACGUCCAUAGUGUGGAAUGAAAUAGAAGUAUUAAAAUAAUAUAUAAAACAAUAAUAAUAAAAUUCUGAAGCUAUUAAAUUCAUAAUAACACAUCAUUUAUUGAAUAGUUAACUUGCAUACAUUCAUGUAAUGCUUACUAUCCCUACAAUGUAUAUACUAUUAUUAAUCUCAUUUCAUGUGUUAAAAAAAAAAAUCUAGGAAAUGGAAAAGUUUCCUUUAGUGACCAAUAUAGAAUGCAGUGAGAUUAUUAUAUAAACCCAGCCAAUCUUAUGUUGGUAUACUAUAUAAGCAAUUAUAAAAGCAUAGAGAGCAUGCACCCAUUUGAAAGAGAAAUAUGUAUUUAUAAAGAAAAGAAGAAAGAACAGAGGGAAGGAAUCUAUUAAUUUAUCUUAAGAAUAUAAUUCUUUAAAAAUGUGCUUUGGAGUUCCCAUGGCACAGCAGAAUAUAAUUCUUUAAAAAUGUAAUUUGGAGUUCCCUUUAUAAAGAAAGGAAGAAAGAAUGGAGGGAGGGAAUCUAUUAAUUUAUCUUAAGAAUAUAAUUCUUUAAAAAUGUGAUUUGGAGUUCCCAUGGCACAACCAUGAGGUUGUAUGGCUACUUCCCUCGCUCAGUGGGUUAAGGAUCUGGCAUUGCUGUGAGCUAUGGCGCACGUCAAAAACACAGCUCGGAUCCUAUGGCUGUGGCGUAGGCCAGCAGCUGUAGCUCCAAUUCUACCCCUAGCCUGGAAACCUCCAUAU